ACAGAGUCGAUUUGGUCACAAUCUCAGAGUUCACUGUGUUUUCAAAAAGUUUAUUUCAAUCGAUUUGCCAAUCGAUUGUGUUCAAAACAGUGGCUCAGUUUUUUGAUGUCAAUCGAUUUGUCAAUCGAUUGGAUUCAAAACAGUGACUCAGUUUUAAUGUCAAUCGAUUUGCCAAUCGAUUUAAUUCAAAACAGUGACUCAGUUAUUUGAUGUCAAUCGACUUGUCAAUCGCUUUGGUAG
rnacentral:lncRNA from 1 species